GCAAACUUGGUCAUUUAGAGGAAGUAAAAGUCGUAACAAGGUUUCCGUAGGUGAACCUGCGGAAGGAUCAUUAACUAUGCUCCUGCAUAACCUGCUCUGUCAGCCACCUUCCCCUGCAGAGGGGAUGGGGCUGCCGUGAGUGACUACCCAUUGUGAACCUUAACUUUUGCUUCGGCAGCGCGUUCCUCCGGGGACGGUAAGGCUGCCGAUAGCCCAUACCACAAACUAUGUUUUAAAACCAUGCAGUCUGAUAUAUCUGAUAGAAUUUAAACUAUUAAAACUUUCAGCAACGGAUCUCUUGGUUCUCGCAUCGAUGAAGAACGCAGC
rnacentral:misc_RNA from 1 species